rfam:Anopheles gambiae str. PEST whole genome shotgun sequencing project, whole genome shotgun sequence.
UUCAGUGACUUUUUGUUACCGUAGCAGGAUAGUAUGGGGGCACGGUCUAUUCGGGGCUUGAACCCAUGACGGGCAUGUCGUACAGAACGGUAACAUAUCUCUCCAAUAAUCUCAAUUUGGGUAGACGAGGAAACCCAACCCCUUAUGAGGAUGGGUUAUAUGGCUAAAUUGAGCGAG